rnacentral:rRNA from 1 species
UACAGAGGUGGCAAGCGUUGUUCGGAAUUACUGGGCGUAAAGGGCGCGUAGGCGGCCUUCUAAGUCAGACGUGAAAUCCCCCGGCUACGUACGUGGAACUGCGUCUGAUACUGGGAGGCUUGAGUAUGGGAGAGGGAUGUAGAAUUCCAGGUGUAGCGGUGAAAUGCGUAGAUAUCUGGAGGAAUACCGGUGGCGAAGGCGGCAUCCUGGACCAUUACUGACGCUGAGGCGCGAAAGCUAGGGGAGCAAACGGG